UUGUGCUUUUCAAACACUGUUAGAAUAUCUUCUUUUUCUAUGAGUGCUUGCUAAGUGGUGGGAAAAAAAUUUGCAUGACCACCAUUUAACAAUGUUGCAUUGCUUUGCCCAAAUUGGUACAGUGGAUGCGAAAAUUAGCCUGAAUCUUCUUACUUUGUGCGUUUCACAUGCUUCUGGAAUAUCUUCUUAUUCUACUACUUCUUGCUGAAGUGGGAAAAAAAUGCACGAGCAUCACUCAACAAUGUUGCAUGGCUUGUUGCCCAAAAGGCCAUGUUAAAUUAGACUGGUAUUUAGCCAUCUGAUCUUUCGUACGCAAUGAACAUCAGCAUGAUGAGAUCAAAGAUGUUGAGAAAUCGGCGCUCAAACCAUAACACUGACUCCCUAGAAGUGGCACCAAAGUGGUGUGACACCACUUCUUCUGUGGACCUUAUACCCACACUACUCUGAGGAGACCUUCACACCGACACUAACACAGGAGACCAACUCUCUACAAGGAACUCAAAUCUUUUAUUCACCUGCUCACAACUUGAUACAACACUCACUCUUACACUCUUUAUGUGGCUACCGUACCAUGACACCACUAUACUACAUGGCAACUUUGCUAUCUCGCUCACAUGCCACUCUAUGUCAUGGUAUGGCUAGGAGAGAGGGGAGCACCUCUAUUUAUAGAUGCUCAUGAUCAUUAUGGUGUUGUCAUGUGGCAACUUCCACACUCUUCCGU
rnacentral:lncRNA from 1 species